rnacentral:tRNA from 1 species
AUGUAAGGGAGCUGGGUAGCGUUUUCAUUGUUAAUGAGAAAAAAGAAGGGU